rnacentral:rRNA from 1 species
UACGUAGGGUGCAAGCGUUAAUCGGAAUUACUGGGCGUAAAGCGUGCGCAGGCGGUUUUGUAAGACCGAUGUGAAAUCCCCGGGCUCAACCUGGGAACUGCAUUGGUGACUGCAAGGCUAGAGUGUGUCAGAGGGGGGUGGAAUUCCACGUGUAGCAGUGAAAUGCGUAGAGAUGUGGAGGAACACCGAUGGCGAAGGCAGCCCCCUGGGAUAACACUGACGCUCAUGCACGAAAGCGUGGGGAGCAAACAGG